rnacentral:rRNA from 1 species
GACGAACGCUGGCGGCGUGCUUAACACAUGCAAGUCGAGCGGAAAGGCCACUUCGGUGGUACUCGAGCGGCGAACGGGUGAGUAACACGUGAGUAAUCUGCCCCUGGCUUUGGGAUAGCCACCGGAAACGGUGAUUAAUACCGGAUAUGACCACGUCUCGCAUGGGGUGUGGUGGAAAGUUUUUCGGCCAGGGAUGUGCUCGCGGCCUAUCAGCUUGAUGGUGAGGUAAUGGCUCACCAUGGCUUCGACGGGUAGCCGGCCUGAGAGGGUGACCGGUCACACUGGGACUGAGACACGGCCCAGACUCCUACGGGAGGCGGCAGUGGGGAAUAUUGGACAAUGGGCGGAAGCCUGAUCCAGCAACGCCGCGUGAGGGAUGACGGCCUUCGGGUUGUAAACCUCUUUCAGUACCGACGAAGCGCAAGUGACGGUAGGUACAGAAGAAGCACCGGCCAACUACGUGCCAGCAGCCGCCGUAAAAC